rnacentral:rRNA from 1 species
CACGUAGGGUGCGAGCGUUGUCCGGAAUUACUGGGCGUAAAGGGCGCGCAGGCGGCUCUGAAAGUCAGAUGUGAAAGCCCCGGGCUUAACCUGGGAAUUGCAUUUGAUACUCUGGAGCUUGAGUGUGGGAGAGGAGAGUGGAAUUCCCAGUGUAGAGGUGAAAUUCGUAGAUAUUGGGAAGAACACCGGUGGCGAAGGCGGCUCUCUGGACCACAACUGACGCUGAGGCGCGAAAGCGUGGGGAGCAAACAGG